rnacentral:tRNA from 1 species
GCACCAGUGGUUAAGUGGAAAAAUAGUACCCUACCACCGAAAAGACCCGGGUUUGAUUCCCGGCUGGUGCA